rnacentral:rRNA from 1 species
CCUGACGACGCAACGCCGCGUGAGGAUGAAGGUCUUCGGAUUGUAAACUCCUGUUGCCCGGGACGAAACGCUCGACCUAACACGUCGGAGUCUGACGGUACCGGGUGAGGAAGCCCCGGCUAACUCUGUGCCAGCAGCCGCGGUAAUACAGAGGGGGCUAGCGUUGUUCGGAAUUACUGGGCGUAAAGGGCGCGUAGGUGGCCUGUUAAGUCGAACGUGAAAUCCCCGGGCUCAACCCGGGAACUGCGUCCGAGACUGGCAGGCUCGAAUCCGGGAGAGGGAUGUGGAAUUCCAGGUGUAGCGGUGAAAUGCGUAGAUAUCUGGAGGAACACCGGUGGCGAAGGCGGCAUCCUGGACCGGUAUUGACGCUGAGGCGCGAAAGCCAGGGGAGCAAACGGGAUUAGAUACCCCGGUAGUCCUGGCCCUAAACGAUGAAUGCUUGGUGUGGCGGGUAUCGAUCCCUGCCGUGCCGAAGCUAACGCAUUAAGCAUUCCGCCUGGGGAGUACGGUCGCAAGGCUG